CCGAGCGUAGCUCAGUCGUAGAGCGAUUGACUGUAGUGUGUAGAUACUGUGUAUCAGUAUACUCGGAAAUCAAUUGGUCACCAGUUCGAUUCUGGUCGUUCGGA
rnacentral:tRNA from 3 species